ACCCGGAUUUAUUGGGCGUAAAGCGUCUGCAGGUGGUUAGGUAAGUUGUUGGUCAAAUCCCCGGGCUCAACCCGAGGACUGACCGACAAAACUGCUCAACUAGAGGACGGAAGAGGCGAGUGGAAUUGCUGGUGUAACCGGUAAAAUGUGUUUAAUAUUCAGCAAGAACACCAAAUGCGAAGGCAUCUCGCUGGAACGUUCCUGACACUCAGAGACGAAAGCGUGGGGAGCGAAUGGGAUUAGAUACCCCAGUAGUCCACGCCGUAAACGAUGGGCACUAGUCCAUUGGCAGUAUCGACCCUGUCAGUGACGUUGAAAAUAGCUAACGCGUUAAGUGCCCCGCCUGUGGAGUACGGCCGCAAGGCUAAAACACAAAGGAAUUGACGGGGACCCGCACAAGCGGUGGAGCAUGUGGUUUAAUUCGAUACUAAGCGAGGAACCUCACCAAGGUUUUGACAUCUCUGGAACGUCCUGGAAACAGGACCGUGCCUUCGGGAACCAGAUGACAGGUGCUGCAUGGUU
rnacentral:rRNA from 1 species